GGGACCGUGGGGAGGCCUGCGGCCCCGGCUGGGGUGUCCCCGACCGCAACCGGAGGAAGGGAUCCGGGGCUGGUACCUGCGACGGCACCUGUGACAGCUCCGUAAAUUUUGUCCGUGGGACCCGAGCCUUCACCGAGUCUGGGCUGGAUCCUCAUGGCUGCUGGAAGCUCUUCGCCCCUGGGUGGAAGCAAAGGAGAGCCUCGCAGACUCGAUUAACCCGUCUGUUGGGCGUCUUGCCCCUGGUUUCCUUCCCCUGCUCCCUUCUUGAUUCUUAAUUUCAGCCAAAGAGAAAGUAAAGAAUCAGAAGAAAAGAUUUUAUUCUUUUCCUUUUUCUUCCCAAAGGCCCCCCGGUACAUAGUUGUACAUUCUUCGUUGUGGGUCCUUCUAGUUGUGGCAUGUGGGAUGCCGCCUCAGCGUGGCUUGAUGAGCAGCGCCAUGUCCGCACCCAGGAUUCGAACCAACGAAUCACUGGGCCGCCUGCAGUGGAGCACGCGAACUUAACCACUCGGCCACGGGGCCGGCCCCUGUAAUAAGUCCGAACAGCCUUGUCACCCUGGCCUUGAAGAGCCUUCUCAGAGAAGAUGGCAAAGGCAGGACAUUAGCUUGAGGAGGUGCUCCCGGGAUGGAGGAGGAGUGACUAUGGAAGGAAGACUUCUGUUCCACUCCAAAGGUCCCCAGGUACUGAACCUAAGAGGUUAGAGGAUGUUUUUCUUACCUGACGCUGCAUUUCAAGCACUCAAUAGCCACCUAUGCGUGAAGGAAGCCAUCUGCAAGCCAGGAAGACAAUCCUCACCAGAAACCAACCAUGCUGGCACCCUGAACUAAUGUAUGUACUAUGAAGGCAAAGACGUGGUUUGGGUCACUGCUAUAUCUCCAGCACAGGAACGCUGCCUGGUACACAAUACCCCAAUAAUGGCUUUCCUCUUGCUCCUUUCUGCUUCCUGACCAAACCUGGUGCUCCCCAUGUGGCCCUGCAUGACAUGGCCUGCCCACUCCUCUCAGGAAAUGUUGUUGAGGCGGCUGAUACGAAUACCUCGUGCUCUGACAACUCCAGGAAAGCUGGGCCUCCAGAGAUCUCAGGUGAAGAGAGGGCACCUAGACCACUGCAUGCUGCCAGAUAUUCUGGAGGGUUGGAGACUGGAGCUCCUGCAGGCUGAUUUCCUGACCACUCCAUCCUCUAAUCUUCAGGGGCAUCGAAGCUCCUAUGAAGACUCCACUGCCAGACCAAGUCACCUUAUAAGGAAGAUCCCCCAAGAAGGAACUAUGAGAUAGGAACUAACCUAUGGUGUAACAAAGUGAGACCAGCUGAAGUGACAGGUGGGCAUAUUUGGGGAGUAUCUACAACCCCCUUAUGCCACGAAGAGUUUCUCCAUACAAUAUUUUGGGUCUACACACGACAAUGCAUCUGCAAGGUACAAGUCAUCUUUCAAAAUCACAUUUAUCUUUUCCCAAUUUCCGUGUGUCUUCUACUUCUGCUGGGACCCUGACUGCUACCUACUCUCUCAGAGACCCGUGGAAAGGCAGCCACGUAUCCUACAUGAGCCCACACACCCAGGUCACCGCAGACGAGACCAGAGACAGAAAAGAAGGCACAGAGAGAAAGCCACGUGAAGACAGAGGCAGAGAUUGGAAUUAUGAAUCUCAAGACAAGGAAGGGCAAGGGUUGCCAGGAGCCACCAGAAGCUAGGAGAGAGGCAUGGAGCGGAUUCUCCCUCGCAGCCUCCGGAGGUAGCACGGCCCUGCUGACGCCUUGAUUUUGGACUUGCGGCUUUCAGAAUGCAUUAUACACAAUACCCAAGACUCGGAAGCAACCUAGGUGCCCAUCAAGGGAUGAAUGGAUAAAGAAGAUGUGGUAUAUAUACACACUGGAAUACUACUCAGCCAUAAGAAAUGAUGCAAUCCGGCCAUUUGUGACAACAUGGAUGGACCUUGAGGGCAUUAUGCUAAGUGAAAUAAGUCAGAGGGAGAAAGUCAAAUACCAUAUGAUCUCACUUAUAAGUAGAAAAUUCAAAAAAUGACAAACAGAGAGAAACAGAGAUUAGAUUGCUGGCUACCAGAGGGCAAGGGGAGAGAGAAGAGAGGAAAAGGAGUGAUUAGGCGCAUGUGUGUGGUGAUGGGUUGUAAUUGGUCUUUGGGUGGUGAACAUGAUGUAAUCUAC
ensembl:lncRNA